rnacentral:rRNA from 1 species
GGGGAAUAUUGGACAAUGGGCGCAAGCCUGAUCCAGCCAUGCCGCGUGGGUGAAGAAGGCCUUCGGGGUGUAACGCCCUUUUGUUGGGAAAGAAAAGCAGCCGGCCAAUACCCGGUUGUUCUGACGGUACCCAAAUAAUAAGCACCGGCUAACGUCGCGCCAGCAGCCGCGGUAAUACGUAGGUGGCAAGCGUUGUCCGGAAUUAUUGGGCGUAAAGCGCUCGCAGGGGGUUUCUUAAGUCUGAUGUGAAAGCCCACGGCUUAACCGUGGAGGGUCAUUGGAAACUGGGAGACUUGAGUGCAGAAGAGGAAAGUGGAAUUCCAAGUGUAGCGGUGAAAUGCGUAGAGAUUUGGAGGAACACCACUGGCGAAGGCGACUUUCUGGUCUGCAACUGACGCUGAGGCGCGAAAGCUUGGGGAGCAAACA